rnacentral:rRNA from 1 species
AACAAACGCUGGCGGCGUGCCUAAUACAUGCAAGUCGAACGGGGAAAGCUUUCGGGUGAGUACUAGUGGCGCACGGGUGAGGAACGCGUGGAUAAUCUGCCUUAGAGUGGGGGAUAACUAGUCGAAAGAUUAGCUAAUACCGCAUAAGACCACGAGAGCUGCGGCUUUUGAGGUCAAAGGUUUUUCGCUCUAAGAUGAGUCCGCGUAAGAUUAGCUAGUUGGUGAGGUAACGGCUCACCAAGGCGACGAUCUUUAACUGGUCUGAGAGGAUGAUCAGUCACACUGGAACUGAGACACGGUCCAGACUCCUACGGGAGGCAGCAGUAGGGAAUAGUGCACAAUGGAGGAAACUCUGAUGCAGCGACGCCGCGUGAGUGAUGAAGGCCUUCGGGUCGUAAAGCUCUGUCGCAGGGGAAUAACACAAUGAAGGUACCCUGUAAGAAAGGAUCGGCUAACUUCGUG